UACGUAGGGUGCGAGCGUUAAUCGGAAUUACUGGGCGUAAAGCGUGCGCAGGCGGUUUUGUAAGACAGGUGUGAAAUCCCCGGGCUUAACCUGGGAACUGCGCUUGUGACUGCAAGACUCGAGUACGGCAGAGGGGGUGGAAUUCCACGUGUAGCAGUGAAAUGCGUAGAGAUGUGGAGGAACACCGAUGGCGAAGGCAGCCCCCUGGGUCGAUACUGACGCUCAUGCACGAAAGCGUGGGGAGCAAACAGG
rnacentral:rRNA from 1 species